CUUCCGCUGCGAGAAUCUCUGGAGGAGGAGCGAUGUCUGUUCCUGCUCGAAGUUCUGCUGCAGAGGAGCUG
rnacentral:pre_miRNA from 1 species